UACGUAGGGUGCGAGCGUUGUCCGGAAUUAUUGGGCGUAAAGGGCUCGUAGGCGGUCUGUCGCGUCUGCUGUGAAAACCUGGGGCUUAACCCCGGGCCUGCAGUGGUACGGGCAGACUAGAGUGCGGUAGGGGAGACUGGAAUUCCUGGUGUAGCAGUGAAAUGCGUAGAGAUCAGGAGGAAUACCGAUGGCGAAGGCAGGUCUCUGGGCUGAUACUGACGCUCAUGCACGAAAGCGUGGGGAGCAAACAGGAUUACGAA
rnacentral:rRNA from 1 species